rnacentral:rRNA from 1 species
CCUACGGGAGGCAGCAGUGAGGAAUAUUGGUCAAUGGGCGCGAGCCUGAACCAGCCAAGUAGCGUGAAGGAUGACUGCCCUACGGGUUGUAAACUUCUUUUAUAAAGGAAUAAAGUGCGGCACGUGUGCCUUUUUGUAUUUAUUUUAUGAUUACGUCUCUGAUAACUUCGUGCCAGCAGCCGCGUUAAUACGGAGGAUCAGAGCGUUAUCCGGAUUUAUUGGUUUUAAAGGUAGCGUAGAUGGGUUGUUAAGUCAGUUGUGAAAGUUUGCGGCUCAACCGUAAAAUUGCAAUUGAUACUGGCAGCCGUGAGGACAGUUGAGGUAGGCGGAAUUCGUGGUGUAGCGGUGAAAUGCUUAGAUAUCACGAAGAACUCCGAUUGCGAAGGCAGCCUACUAAACUGCCACUGACAUUGAUGCUCGAAAGUGUGGGUAUCAAACAGGAUUAGAUACCCGAGUAGUG